GACGAACGCCGGCGGCGUGCCUAAUACAUGCAAGUCGAGCGAAUGGAUUAAGAGCUUGCUCUUAUGAAGUUAGCGGCGGACGGGUGAGUAACACGUGGGUAACCUGCCCAUAAGACUGGGAUAACACCGGGAAACCGGGGCUAAUACCGGAUAACAUUUUGAACCGCAUGGUUCGAAAUUGAAAGGCGGCUUCGGCUGUCACUUAUGGAUGGACCCGCGUCGCAUCAGCUAGUUGGUGAGGUAACGGCUCACCAAGGCAACGAUGCGUAGUCGGCCUGAGAGAGUGAUCGGCCACACUGGGACUGAGACACGGCCCAGACUCCUACGGGAGGCAGCAGUAGGGAAUCUUCCGAAAUGGACGAAAGUCUGACGGAGCAACGCCGCGUGAGUGAUGAAGGCUUUCGGGUCGUAAAACUCUGUUGUUAGGGAAGAACAAGUGCUAGUUGAAUAAGCUGGCACCUUGACGGUACCUAACCAGAAAGCCACGGCUAACUACGUGCCAGCCGCCGCAGUAA
rnacentral:rRNA from 1 species